GUCCUAUUUAUUGUUCCAUCCCCCCUCUCAAAAUAUUGUAUAGCGCUACGGAAUCUGUUGGCGCUAUAUAAAUGGCAAUAAUAAUAAUAAUAAUAUGAAACUGUGUAUUUUCCUGCCUGGAAUAAUUAAGUCAACCCAUUGUGUACCCCCUCACAGGCAGAGGGGAGAUUUUGUGUGUCCUAACUGGGAGUGUCUGACUGUAUUAUUAUGUGUUUGAUUGGCUGUUCCACAAAACCACGUGGGUGGUAACUGUGUGUAAAAACUUGCAUAAAAGAAAGCCCUUUGGUGUUGAUUAAAGCAGAUCAUCUUGUACCUUCAUGAAGUUUUGGCUCAUGUUUGGGGGAUUGGAGAACUACACUCUGGGGAUUGCUAUAAUCACU